GACGAACGCUGGCGGCGUGCUUAACACAUGCAAGUCGAACGGAAAGGCCCUGCUUUUGUGGGGUGCUCGAGUGGCGAACGGGUGAGUAACACGUGAGUAACCUGCCCUUGACUUUGGGAUAACUUCAGGAAACUGGGGCUAAUACCGGAUAGGAGCUCCUGCUGCAUGGUGGGGGUUGGAAAGUUUCGGCGGUUGGGGAUGGACUCGCGGCUUAUCAGCUUGUUGGUGGGGUAGUGGCUUACCAAGGCUUUGACGGGUAGCCGGCCUGAGAGGGUGACCGGCCACAUUGGGACUGAGAUACGGCCCAGACUCCUACGGGAGGCAGCAGUGGGGAAUAUUGCACAAUGGGCGGAAGCCUGAUGCAGCAACGCCGCGUGCGGGAUGACGGCCUUCGGGUUGUAAACCGCUUUCGCCUGUGACGAAGCGUGAGUGACGGUAAUGGGUAAAGAAGCACCGGCUAACUACGUGCCAGCAGCCGCGGUGAUACGUAGGGUGCGAGCGUUGUCCGGAUUUAUUGGGCGUAAAGGGCUCGUAGGUGGUUGAUCGCGUCGGAAGUGUAAUCUUGGGGCUUAACCCUGAGCGUGCUUUCGAUACGGGUUGACUUGAGGAAGGUAGGGGAGAAUGGAAUUCCUGGUGGAGCGGUGGAAUGCGCAGAUAUCAGGAGGAACACCAGUGGCGAAGGCGGUUCUCUGGGCCUUUCCUGACGCUGAGGAGCGAAAGCGUGGGGAGCGAACAGGCUUAGAUACCCUGGUAGUCCACGCUGUAAACGGUGGGUACUAGGUGUGGGGUCCAUUCCACGGGUUCCGUGCCGUAGCUAACGCUUUAAGUACCCCGCCUGGGGAGUACGGCCGCGAGGCUAAAACUCAAAGGAAUUGACGGGGCCCCGCACAAGCGGCGGAGCAUGCGGAUUAAUUCGAUGCAACGCGUAGAACCUUACCUGGGUUUGACAUGGAUCGGGAGUGCUCAGAGAUGGGUGUGCCUCUUUUGGGGUCGGUUCACAGGUGGUGCAUGGCUGUCGUCAGCUCGUGUCGUGAGAUGUUGGGUUAAGUCCCGCAGCGAGCGCAACCCUUGUUCACUGUUGCCAGCACGUUAUGGUGGGGACUCAGUGGAGACCGCCGGGGUCAACUCGGAGGAAGGUGGGGAUGACGUCAAGUCAUCAUGCCCCUUAUGUCCAGGGCUUCACGCAUGCUACAAUGGCUGGUACAGAGAGUGGCGAGCCUGUGAGGGUGAGCGAAUCUCGGAAAGCCGGUCUCAGUUCGGAUUGGGGUCUGCAACUCGACCUCAUGAAGUCGGAGUCGCUAGUAAUCGCAGAUCAGCAACGCUGCGGCGAAUAAGGGCCCGGGGCU
rnacentral:rRNA from 1 species